UCCCUUCGAUUGCUUUUUCUCCACCGUUCCGUUUCCUCCCGUCGUCGUUCUCCCUGCGCACCUGCGACCACCGCUCGCCGCUCCCCAUCCCAAACAGCUCCCCCACCGGACCCAGCCCCCAUCCCAAGCCUGCCCCCAUCCCUCCCAAGCUGCUCCCCUACUGCUCGCGGCGCACCACCUGUCGCCGCCCCACCCCCAUCGCUGGCCGCCGAAGCCUCGGUGGCGCCGCUGCAGCUGCCCUCUCAACCAUGGUGGAUCGCGGUGGCGUGAGGAGGCGCGAUUCAUGUGGGAUCGGGCAAAGUAGACUGAUCUUCCGGCGAAGGGGUUGGAUCCGCGAGCACCGCCUCAGGUUCGGACGCGGGGCUAGUUGGAGUUGCAGGCUGCCUGGAGGUCGGAUGCGCAGCGGCCGAUCCCCUCAUGGCUGCUCGACCACCAGCCUGAUUGAUGGCCGGGAGCGUCGUCGCGGCAUUUGGUGGGAUCGACGCAACAAUUGCUUAGCAGAGGAAGGGAUUGAUUUGGAGCCGUGGAAUUCCAAAGGUUUGACAUUAACUACAGUGUAUAGAUAACUGUGCAGUCAUCAUUAAUAGGCAGGGUAAAGCAUCCGGCAGUUCCUUUGGGAGAGACUUUAAUAGGGAUCCAUACGGCGGGAGCUCCAGCGCCUCAUCGGGGACGCGGGGCCCGGGGUCCUGCUCUUCUUCCACUACAGCCGCAGGUGCUCAAGGCGGUGCAGAAGCACAUCGGCAAUGGCGCCUCCAAACAGUACUUUCGGGACUUCGUCGCCGCCGAGUUCCGCCUCCAUGUCCGACCGAGCGAGCGGUCCUAUGGCAUCAGACACGCCGGCACCAUCCUCCCCAUCAAGUUGUGGCAGGGGCAUUUGGUGGUUUAGACCCAGGGUCAGGUUCAGAUUUAUUUGCCUCAUGAUCAGCAGCUGAUUCUUAUUGCCAAGUCUUAGGUGUCCGUGCUUCCUCUGCAUAAAUGUAUAUGUAUGUGUCCUAUGAGAUGCUGAACUGAAAACUUAUGAUGUGUGUGCGCGCGUGCGCGCUAGUUCAGAACCCUGUUCAUUUUGUCACAAAAGUAGCUCUGUAACUUCUUGUGGGCUGGGCUAAAUUUCUCUUGGGCUUGUGUGAUGGGCUAUGCAAUGGGGUUUCAAUUUGAUUGGAAAUUUUGUGGACUGAAAAAUAGCCCAUUGUAGUGGCCCAAUUCCAAAAUGGACCCAA